UACAGAGGUCUCAAGCGUUGUUCGGAUUCAUUGGGCGUAAAGGGUGCGUAGGCGGCGCGGUAAGUCGGGUGUGAAAUCUCGGAGCUUAACUCCGAAACUGCAUUCGAUACUGCCGUGCUUGAGGACUGGAGAGGAGACUGGAAUUUACGGUGUAGCGGUGAAAUGCGUAGAUAUCAGGAGGAAUACCUAUGGCGAAAGCAGGUAUCUGGGCCACAACUGACGCUGAGCUGCGAAAGCUAGGGGAGCAAACAGG
rnacentral:rRNA from 1 species